GAACGCAUCUUGCGCUCCUUGGUAUUCCGGGGGGCAUGCCUGUUCGAGCGUCAUUUCAACCCUCAAGCUCAGCUUGGUAUUGGGCCCUGUCGGUAAAACGACAGGCCUUAAAAUCAGUGGCGGCGCCGUUGGGUCCUGAACGUAGUAAUAUAUUUCGUUACAGGUACUUGAUGUGCUUCUGCCAUUAAACCCCCAAUUUUCUAUGGUUGACCUCGGAUCAGGUAGGGAUACCCGCUGAACUUAAG
rnacentral:misc_RNA from 1 species